GAUGAAGAACGUAGCGAAAUGCGAUACGUAAUGUGAAUUGCAGAAUUCAGUGAAUCGUCGAAUCUUUGAACGCAUAUUGCGCUCUCUGGUAUUCCGGAGAGCAUGCUUGUUUGAGUAUCAGUAAACACCUCAACUUCCAUAUCUUUUUUGAAAUGGGAGUUGGACUUGAGUGAUCCCAACGCUUUUCCUCACCGAAAAGUGGCGGGUUACUUGAAAUGCAGGUGCAGCUGGACUUUUCUCUGAGCUAUAAGCAUAUCUAUUUAGUCUGCCUAAAAAACAGAUUAUUACCUUUGCUGCAGCUAACAUAAAGGAGAUUAGUUCUUGUGCUGACUGAUGCAGGAUUCACAAAGACAGGCUUCGGCCGACUUUGUAAACUCGAUCUCAAAUCAAGUAAGACUACCCGCUGAACUUAAGCAUAUCAAAAGCGGAGGA
rnacentral:misc_RNA from 1 species